AGAGUUUGAUCAUGGCUCAGGACGAACGCUGGCGGCGUGCCUAACACAUGCAAGUCGAACGGAGAUAUUCGUAGCAAUAUGGAUAUCUUAGUGGCGGACGGGUGAGUAACGCGUGAGCAAUCUGCCCUUCGGAGGGGGACAACAGCUGGAAACGGCUGCUAAUACCGCAUAACGUAUAUUGAUGGCAUCAUCGGUAUACCAAAGAUUUAUCGCCGAAGGAUGAGCUCGCGUCUGAUUAGCUAGUUGGUAGGGUAAUGGCCUACCAAGGCUGCGAUCAGUAGCCGGACUGAGAGGUUGAACGGCCACAUUGGGACUGAGAUACGGCCCAGACUCCUACGGGAGGCAGCAGUGGGGAAUAUUGGGCAAUGGGGGAAACCCUGACCCAGCAACGCCGCGUGAAGGAAGAAGGCUUUCGGGUUGUAAACUUCUUUGACCAGGGACGAAACAAAUGACGGUACCUGGAAAACAAGCCACGGCUAACUACGUGCCAGCAGCCGCGGUAAUACGUAGGUGGCAGGCGUUGUCCGGAUUUACUGGGUGUAAAGGGCGCGUAGGCGGGAUUGCAAGUCAGAUGUGAAAUGCUGGGGCUUAACCCCAGAGCUGCAUUUGAAACUGUAGUUCUUGAGUAUCGGAGAGGCAGGCGGAAUUCCUAGUGUAGCGGUGAAAUGCGUAGAUAUUAGGAGGAACACCAGUGGCGAAGGCGGCCUGCUGGACGACAACUGACGCUGAUGCGCGAAAGCGUGGGGAGCAAACAGGAUUAGAUACCCUGGUAGUCCACGCUGUAAACGAUGAAUACUAGGUGUGGGGGGACUGACCCCCUCCGUGCCGGAGUUAACACAAUAAGUAUUCCACCUGGGAGUAACGGCCGCAAGGUUGAAACUCAAAUGAAUUGACGG
rnacentral:rRNA from 1 species